rnacentral:rRNA from 1 species
UACAGGGGGUGCAAACGUUGCUCGGAAUCAUUGGGCGUAAAGCGCACGUAGGCGGUCUGUUAUGUCGGAUGUGAAAGCCCUCAGCUCAACUGAGGAAGUGCAUCCGAAACUGGCAGGCUAGAGUACUAAAGAGGGUCGCGGAAUUCCCGGUGUAGAGGUGAAAUUCGUAGAUAUCGGGAGGAACACCGGUGGCGAAGGCGGCGACCUGGGUAGAUACUGACGCUGAGGUGCGAAAGCGUGGGGAGCAAACAGG